rnacentral:misc_RNA from 1 species
UACAGAGGGUGCGAGCGUUGUCCGGAUUUAUUGAGCGUAAAGCGUGCGUAGGCGGCUUUUUAAGUCGGAUGUGAAAUCCUCGAGCUUAACUUGGGAAUUGCGUUCGAUACUGGGAAGCUAGAGUAUGGGAGAGGAUGGUAGAAUUCCAGGUGUAGCGGUGAAAUGCGUAGAGAUCUGGAGGAAUACCGAUGGCGAAGGCAGCCAUCUGGCCUAAUACUGACACUGAGGUACGAAAGCAUGGGGAGCAAACAGG